rnacentral:misc_RNA from 1 species
AGUAUUUGGAAACCUACACGAAGUCUUUGUUCAGUUUUGAGUGAGCUUUCACUCAGCGAUCAUUGAAAACUGAAUAUCAAUCCCUCAAUUUAUUCGAUGCGAGUAGAUUGAGGAGAAACACAAAUAAUUUCUUAGUAAAUGAUGAUAUAAUCAAACCGAGAAUUGACCGAGUCUAUGAUGAAAGUUAUAGAACAAUAGCGCAAAAAUAAUUGUGG